CGGCGUCGAGCGGCGGACGGGUGAGUAAUGCCUAGGAAAUUGCCCUGAUGUGGGGGAUAACCAUUGGAAACGAUGGCUAAUACCGCAUAAUACCUACGGGUCAAAGAGGGGGACCUUCGGGCCUCUCGCGUCAGGAUAUGCCUAGGUGGGAUUAGCUAGUUGGUGAGGUAAUGGCUCACCAAGGCGACGAUCCCUAGCUGGUCUGAGAGGAUGAUCAGCCACACUGGAACUGAGACACGGUCCAGACUCCUACGGGAGGCAGCAGUGGGGAAUAUUGCACAAUGGGCGCAAGCCUGAUGCAGCCAUGCCGCGUGUGUGAAGAAGGCCUUCGGGUUGUAAAGCACUUUCAGUCGUGAGGAAGGUAGUGUAGUUAAUAGCUGCAUUAUUUGACGUUAGCGACAGAAGAAGCACCGGCUAACUCCGUGCCAGCAGCCGCGGUAAUACGGAGGGUGCGAGCGUUAAUCGGAAUUACUGGGCGUAAAGCGCAUGCAGGUGGUUUGUUAAGUCAGAUGUGAAAGCCCGGGGCUCAACCUCGGAAUAGCAUUUGAAACUGGCAGACUAGAGUACUGUAGAGGGGGGUAGAAUUUCAGGUGUAGCGGUGAAAUGCGUAGAGAUCUGAAGGAAUACCGGUGGCGAAGGCGGCCCCCUGGACAGAUACUGACACUCAGAUGCGAAAGCGUGGGGAGCAAACAGGAUUAGAUACCCUGGUAGUCCACGCCGUAAACGAUGUCUACUUGGAGGUUGUGGCCUUGAGCCGUGGCUUUCGGAGCUAACGCGUUAAGUAGACCGCCUGGGGAGUACGGUCGCAAGAUUAAAACUCAAAUGAAUUGACGGGGGCCCGCACAAGCGGUGGAGCAUGUGGUUUAAUUCGAUGCAACGCGAAGAACCUUACCUACUCUUGACAUCCAGAGAACUUUCCAGAGAUGGAUUGGUGCCUUCGGGAACUCUGAGACAGGUGCUGCAUGGCUGUCGUCAGCUCGUGUUGUGAAAUGUUGGGUUAAGUCCC
rnacentral:rRNA from 1 species